UACAGAGGGGGCAAGCGUUGUUCGGAAUUACUGGGCGUAAAGGGCGCGUAGGCGGCCUGCUAAGUCGAACGUGAAAUCCCCGGGCUCAACCCGGGAACUGCGUCCGAUACUGGUUGGCUUGAAUCCGGGAGAGGGAUGCGGAAUUCCAGGUGUAGCGGUGAAAUGCGUAGAUAUCGGGAGGAACACCUGUGGCGAAAGCGGCGCACUGGACCAUAACUGACGCUGAGGCGCGAAAGCUAGGGGAGCAAACAGG
rnacentral:rRNA from 1 species